AUUGAACGCUGGCGGCAGGCCUAACACAUGCAAGUCGAGCGGAUGAAGGGAGCUUGCUCCUGGAUUCAGCGGCGGACGGGUGAGUAAUUCCUAGGAAUCUGCCUGGUAGUGGGGGAUAACGUCCGGAAACGGGCGCUAAUACCGCAUACGUCCUGAGGGAGAAAGUGGAGGAUCUUCGGACCUCACGCUAUCAUAUGAGCCUAGGUCGGAUUAGCUAGUUGGUGGGGUAAAGGCCUACCAAGGCGACGAUCCGUAACUGGUCUGAGAGGAUGAUCAGUCACACUGGAACUGAGACACGGUCCAGACUCCUACGGGAGGCAGCAGUGGGGAAUAUUGGACAAUGGGCGAAAGCCUGAUCCAGCCAUGCCGCGUGUGUGAAGAAGGUCUUCGGAUUGUAAAGCACUUUAAGUUGGGAGGAAGGGCAGUAAGUUAAUACCUUGCUGUUUUGACGUUACCAACAGAAUAAGCACCGGCUAACUUCGUG
rnacentral:rRNA from 1 species